CCCCGGGAGCCGCCCGCGGUUACAUCAUCCCCGUUAUCCAUGCGGUGUCCAUUCACCAAAUGCUCCAGGAAUGCAUGAAGUUUAUGGUUCGCCUCAAACCAGCAAGGUUUGCAGAGGACCUGGUGUGUCCCUUAUUAUAGGGCCAGGAAUGGGCCACAGGGAAUCACUUGAUCCUGAGAAGUCAUGGUGAGGAACAGUCAGUCAGAGAAGCCGAUACAAACCAACAUCGGAGAAGAGGAGAGAAUGUGAGCAUUCUGCAUUUGAAACAAACCCUUGGCAGUUCUGAUGGUUCCCUGAGAUUUGAGAGCCACUGGUGGGACUGGACCCCAGUGAAGUGGUCCCACUUUUACUGCCUUCAACCACCAUCUCUACAGAUUCAGUCACAGAAAAGGAACAAGAUGAUUUUAACUUGAUACCCAAUGUGGCAAAAAAUAAAUAAAUG